ensembl:lncRNA
AGAUAAACAAACGGCCUUUCUGCACAGGUUGUGCCAGAGAGCCUCUCCCAGCAGGGAAUUGGGUUGGAUGUUGUACUAGGAAGAAUUAUGAUGGUGGUGCCCUGCUGUUGAUCAGUCAAAUCUGUGGUGGGCCUAGAGAUAAGUCCUAAUCUGGAAUAGUUUCACUCCGAACAACAAACGUGGACGCUGCUCAACGGGGAGGAGGAGGGGAACACAGCCACCCAGUGUUUGCAGACUCCAGCACAGCAAAGUGGUGGACUUGAGGCAAGUUCUGCCGUGGAAUGGCUGCUGCACGUAUCUGCUUGUGCAGUGGGUAAACAAAGCAUCACAUGGGCUGCAGGCUGAGCACGAGGCGCGUGGCUGACCUAUACGUGUAUGAGGCAUGCAGGAGGAACAGCAUAUUCCAAACAUUAGAGCCUGGUGGGAUAUUCAGGAACUUCUCUCAAAAAACUCAAACAAACGAAACAAAACCACAAAUUGAUUAUAACUGAAAAAUUAUUUGGCUUGAUUUCUCCUGUUUUUCCACAAGUUUCAGUGAGUAUUUACAUAAGCGUAUUUCUACAUUGCCUUGCAUUGGAAACAGCUUGUAAGUAUGUUCAUCAAAAUGUCAGUCAAUUAUAAUGUAACUCAUUGCACCUGUUUGGACCUCAGUAGUUGCUAAUUGUAACUGUGCAUUUACAGCUGUGACUGUGCUGGUGCUCAGCCUCGGACCUGACUGCCCAUAGGACAUUUCAAACUAGAAAUUAAAAUCACUGCGUGUGUUUCAGAACUGCUCUCAUAGACGAAACCUUUGCGCUAAAGCUUGUACUGUCACGAGAAAGGGAAAUUAAUUUUGGAUUGAUGCUACUCAGAAGGACCAUUAUACCCUUGCAGGAUCACAGUGACUGCUUUUUCAGUGAUGUACCAGGCUGUGAUGGUGCUUGGACUGUCUCCUAACAUUUCUAUAGACAAGAGCUACUUAAACAGCAAGUCCAGGCUUGGGCCAAACUGCAAGUACUCUUUAUGUAGACAGGCAAAGUGUCAGACACAAAGUUUUCCACUUUAGAGCAGGCGAUCUGCUUGCUUCCUCUUCCCUGACCUGGAGACCUGUUCCAGGCAUUGCCUGAGUCUUAACCCUUCAAUGAGAGGUGCCUCUCUGAGCUGCCCCUUGGCCAUGGUACCUAAUGGGUGGAGGUAUGAAUUCUUCAUUCAGACCUGGCCAAAUCCAGUGCUAGACCUGGAUGCAAACCAGUUCUACCGAAGGUUUAGGUAGUGAAGGAACUGAAACUUGCUGCUUACCUGCCAUGCUGCACAGGGCCAGCAUGAGACCCAGCCCUACAAGCUCUGCUUGUAGGGUUUUGGUAUUUUUGACACAGUCAUUUGGCAUUUUGAUUUCCCUAUGGUACAAACAGGGGGACAAUCUAAAAAUAAGAAAUAGCUUUCCUGCACAAAUACCUUGAAUCAUUAGAAACUGAUGCUCUGUGAGUUUGCUGGGAAUCUGUUACUGUUUUUAUAUUUUCAUAGGGAUGUAAUCAUCCAACACUGUUGGACAGAGGUAAACAUGAGUAACCCAAUUUUGUUCUUACACUUGGAACACUGCAAAUAGCUAUAUAGUCCUGAAGUUUUUGUAUCUAACCAGAUGACACUGGGGGAAGUGAAAUAUUUCUUAUUAAACUGAGGCAAAAUAUGCCUUUGUGAUCUAUAAGGAAGUCUAAUAAUUUUGGGUUCAAAGAUGUCUAAUGUUGAAUUAUUAAAUGACUCAAUGUAGCUUUCUUUUAGAAGGGGUGAUACUCAUCCAUCAGCUGGAUCCAAGCUAUUACAAAAACUCUGCUAGAAAUAGAAUGAGAAAUAGACCAAAAACUCAGAGCUCAGGCUUGCAAAUAAAAUAAAUUGUUGUGACUGGUUGUUCACUAAUAUAUGUGAAAGAGGGGCUACGUGUUACGUGUCUUUUAUUAUUGACAGUGUGCCCAAUGCUGUAUGGUAAAUGUUUGAACAGUGUCACCUUCUGUUCUGCCUCCUUCACCUACAGGAGCAGCUCUGGUGGCGAAGGGGCAGCGUGAGGCACUGCUGGCCCCAACUUCCCGCAGGUGUCCAUCCGGCACCCGAGGCCUCGAGCAGCACCGUGUCUGUGUCCUGUGCCAUACCCACAGCCCUGGAACCAUGCAAGGAGAAUGAAGUUUGUUCUAAACGUGAAUUUAAUGUGCUUUCAGAUUUGACAGCCUCUUUUAAAAGGAAACGUUUAAGUUGAGCGAAAGGCACAUUUGCUUCUCCAAAUAAAUGGAAUUAUAGUUCAAAGAUCUGACUUAAUCCUGAGGCUCUUGCACUGUGCAGUAAGUAGGAAAGAAAGGGGAUUGCUCCGAGGAGCAGGGGUUAGCAGGAUCAGGGGCUGUUUUAUAUCAUCUCAUUUUCCUUCUGGUAUUUAAUAUACUUUCUUCUCAACUUGCACUGGCUGGUUCUAAAAAGACCCAGUAGUGUCAUACGUUAACUAAUGGCAUAUAAACUACUAAUUGAAACUAAUGAAGGAUGGUACAGGGAGUUCCCAUCCAGCUUUCCUGCUAGGCAAAUUUGAUUAUUGUUAAGCAAACAAAAAUGCCAUUCUUCCAGAUGUAUUCUCUCAUAUGGUUUCGUCCUUUUUCAGUUCAUUUCAGGACUUUUCUCAAAAUGCAUUUUACUUGUUAUAACUAUGUGCUCUUUUUCCACUUUAAAAAAAUGUAUAUACAACUGUGUUUUAAAAUCUACGUUGACAUUUCAGUGAUAUGAAGGAAGAUGUUUACACAGUAACAGUGCCAUCUAUAUUUAUUGUAUCUCUACAAACAGAAGUUCUGAUCAGAUAAAAUUAAAAUAUGUGUG